UUUCAAUGUAAGUCUAAGGGAUUUAGUUUUAUUGUCCACUGGAUGAAAGUCUAAUCCCUUAUUAACAAAGACCUCUAAUUAAACCUUCUUAGGAGUCUUAUUAAUCUUAGUAGUAUGACUAGGAGGAGUGGUACAUAAUUUGUGCUAAUAGGAAAUAAUGCAGCAGUUUAACACUGCAUCUGGGUGUAGUUGUUCGCUUAUCUAUUUCAGGUACUUCAGACCUGAGUUUGGCCCUACCCAACCGACCUCUGACAAAUCUGGUGGCAGUCACCCUUCCAGUUUGUUCUGUUUCUCUUCACUAGUCAGAGUAUCAGCUAGACAUGAAACUUGAAUCAGGUAGGGCUGGUUUAGAAAACACACCUUUCUUUUCUCUUGUUCCCAUUUUUAUUAUUAUUAUUAUUAUUAUUUAGAUUUUUCCUAUUAAUUUUGACGUCUUUAUUUUUUAUCCAAGCAAUUUUUGUACUCCCAGAAAUCCCAUCAGGAAAUGUCACCCUGUGUCACUGUACAUUUAAAGGGAAGUGUUUUGCAUCAGGCUCUAACAACUCAAAGCGAGACUAAAAGCUGCUCCCAGGACAGGUGUAUCAUCAUGACAUUUUUUCUAUUUGCUCCCCAAAUGUCAUAAGGAAAUUUUCAAUCAUAGACUAAAACAUGCUUAUCACAGAAGAGGUGCAUUCAAGUUACUGUAGGUAUAAAUUGCAUGUUGAAUUUAUUUUUAAAUAAUGUUCGAAUGUCUUGAAAUGUAUUGUUGAAGAUGUUGAAUUAGUGCUUUAAUAGCUGUAACAGUGGUGUGAUUUAAAAGGCUAAUGUCUUCAUGUCACAAAAUAACUAAGGCCCAGAGCAGGCAUUUACAGAAAAAUUAAAAAGCUUUUCAUAAUGGGUCAGCCAACUGUAAAUUGAGAUGGAGCAUAAAAAUCAUGAUUGCUUCAGCAGGUUCUCAGAAUUACAAGGAGGUUAGCAGCGAAAGUAAAUGUUGUUUUCUGAAUGAGUUGAGACUUUUAUAUCUCAUAUUUCUACACCUACACAAAUGUGUCCAAAAAUUAGGGAAAGGACAAGUACAAGAUUGAGAAAAAGAG
ensembl:lncRNA